rnacentral:lncRNA from 1 species
GGCGGGUGAUGUGGCACAUCCUAUUGAAAAGGAAAAAAAAAUUAAACGACAAGCAGUGGCCAUUACCCUUGUGUGUAAUUCCAGCACUGCUGAGGCUAAGGUCAAAGGAGCAUGUGGAAGCCAGCCUGAGCUACAUAGUAAGUUGCAGGACAGCGUGAGCUGGAUACUGGGUGCUUUCUGAUAAAACCCGAGUGGGUAGGGUGUAGAGGGUACCUUAGAAGCUGGGGCAUAGCUCCGUAGUAGAGAGUUUGCUUAACAUUCAUGAAGUCCUAGGUUCAUGCCUACCAAUGCCAAAAGCAGACACUUUCUCUACCUUGAAAAUCUGCCUCUAUGUUCUUCCCUUCCCUUUCUCCUUCGACUCAAUCUGAUGCUGGUAAAUUUAUUUACCAAAUUAUUGGUAAGAGCUUUAUAUGGAGUUUAAGUUUCUUUUUUGGUGGGAGGUAUAUAGAAAUAGAGCUGAUUUUCAUGUAUUGAUCAUGUAUGUUACAGCCUUGUUACUUCAUUUGUUAAUUCUAAUCAUGUCUUGGUGGCUUCAUCUACAAGACCACCUUAUACGCAAAUAGAGGCAGUUUACUUCUCUGGUCUAGCUAGAUGCCUUUUUACUUCUUGCCUCUUUGUUCUGGCUCCAGCCUGCAGUGAAGUGCUGAGUCAGUGUUCAUUCUUCGUCCUGAUGGUGGCAGACAGUCUGUGUCCAUGCCUUUAAAGAUGCACGUGAAGUUACCUUCCUGGGCUUGACUUCCUUUUUAAUUCUUACAGUUACAGAAUUUCAGUGUAGUGUGCUAGUAGCCGUUAGGGGGGGGGAUAGCUCAGUAAAGACAUAAGCACCAAUGAGUGUGAGAGCCCAGAACCCCUGUAAACAAGCCAAACCUGUGCUUGUAAUCUGAUGCUGAAGUGUAGAGGCAGGUGGAUCCUAGCAGCUCGUCGGCCAGCCUCGUCUGAGUAAGAUGCAGGCCAGUGAAAACACUCUGUCUGUCGCAAAGGUGGGAGAAGAUGGAUGGCAUUUUACUUCCGUUUCCUCUGUGUAGCCCUAGCUGUCCUAGAACUUGCUCUGUAGACCAGAAUGGCCUCCAACUCACAGAAAUCUACCUGCUUCUACCUCCUGAAAGCUGGGAUUAAAGGUGUGCAGCAACUUAACCCCAGCUUUUAAAAGUUACUUUAGAGGUUCCUUAAGAGCUUAUAUAUAUACUACAAUAUGGGGCAUGUUGCCCACAAGUAACGAACUUGUUCCUUGAGCGGUUGGUGGUAGCAAUGACUGAACAGGUAAGUUCCCCCGUUUGUAGAACACUUUCCUGGUUGGAAGUUAACAGGUAGUGUGCUCUGUUGAUAAUUGUUAGUGCUACCAUUGUUGAUUGUGGAAGUUUGGUUUGGGUUUUUUGAGACAGUUUAUAGUAAGCUAAACUGAAACUCACUAUAGCUGAGGAUGAGCGAGAACUUCUGCCUUAGCUUCUCAAAUACUGGGAUUACAUAUGUGACCACCACACCUGGUUUUCUUCUUAUUUUGGAGUAUUUACAAGCUUUGCUGUGCUAAUGCUUCAUAUGUUACUUCAGAUAUACUCUGUAAAACCCUAUGGAAAGGGGUUUAUUGUUUGUCAGGUAAGGUUUUCUGGGUAGAGUUGUUUGUCUUGGUUGUGUGAUAAAUAAACUAGCUUUCUGGAUUCCUCUUGAGUCCAGCAUCAAGGCUCUUCAGUGCCGAAUUAGGGUAAGUUUUAACUUUGUCACCAAUUACUGUGACUUUUUCCAUUGCAUCAAAAUUUAAAGGUAAAAUAGGAAAUUUCCGUGUUCUGCUCUCCAGCUUUAGAAAGAUUUACUGGGAACCUUGAUAAAAGAAUCACAUUAUGGGCUGGAGAGAUGGCUCAGCAGUUAAGAGCACUGGCUGCUUUUCCCGAGGUCCUGAGUUCAAUUCCUAGCAACCACGUGGUGGCUCACAACCAUCUGAAAUGGGAUCUGAUGCCCUCUUCUGGGGUGUCUGAAGAGAGUGACAGUGUACUCGCAUGUUAAGUAAACAAACAAAUAAUUUUUUUUUAAAUUCUGAUUUAAAAAAUAAAAAGAAUCACACUACAGCCUGGUCAUGGUGGCACGCACCUUUAAUUCCAGCAGAGGAAUUAAGUUGGGAGGCAGAGGCAGGAGAAUCUGAGUCCCAGGACAGCCAGGGUUAUAUAGACAGACCCUGUCUUAGGGAAUGG